rnacentral:lncRNA from 1 species
UCCAAUUGGGCUCAACCUGUGGUUUCACCCCGUGGUCGCCCUUCCCCAUCGUGGUCUCCCGGCUUCCCCAUUGUAGUCUCCCUCUGCCGCCAGGUGCCUCCAUCGCCCUUCCUUCUCCUCCUGUUGCCGCCGCCAGUCCCUCCAUCGCCGCCUUCCCCCAUCUCCGCCUCCUUCCCUUUCCCGUCACCGCCUCCCUCGGUCCCUCCAUCGCCGACUUCCCCCAUCUCCGCCUCCUUCCUUUCCCCGUCACCGCCUCCCGGCCCUACUCCACAGCCAUCGCCGGCUCGCCUUCGCACCAGUAGAAGCUCGAGCUCCCAUCCUCCCCCAACUUGAAGGCCGCCGCAUUCUCAUCCUUUCCUGCCUCCCGUCGAGCUUGGGCGCACUCCUCGACCUCCAGAGCGAGCACGACUCGGAGCAGGAAGGCGGCGGCUCUCACUGUAAGUUCUUGUCAUGAAUCAAUGAUGUACUUAGGAACUAGAAUUAUUAGAUUAGACCCUUGUUGUUGUUGGAUUUCGUCAUGAAUCCGUGAUGUACUUAGGAACCAUUUGGGACUCAUAAUGUGACAGGCGGCAAUAAUUCUUGUCCAAUAGAUCUUUCUUGGAAGGGAAUUGCUAGAACAAACAUUGGUUGAAAGAUAACUAAGAUGAUCAAAAAAAGGUUGUAAACUUUUUUUGUGGCUUGUGUUGACCAAUGUUUACUAUGUAGUCAUAAUCAUUGUUUUGAUUAGGUUCCUGCUAGCUAGCUGUACCUUGCUGGCUUACUGAGAUUGGCAACACAAGGUUGCUGUUGUGGUUAAUAAAAUGAAAAAUACCUUGUACAGAAAUAUAGGUAGAGUUACAAGAAUUAUGAAAUGACAGAACCACUCUUUGAAGAAACUGAAGAUAUAUAGAAUAUUUGUUUCUUCUAUCUCCAAUUCGAAUGUUUCAGAUUAAUUUUUGAAUAUUGGCUAUGCGAAGCCCUACUGCUUGAUUGUUUGAGCCAUACCAAGCUAGCUAUGACAGAAUAGGUGAAUAGUGGCAGCCUGAAUUGUAGUUAAGAAUUCGUACAAGACUUCUUUCUCUUUUGUGUUUUUAUGGCGGACCUGCCGCGCAAGAUCUUUGGUCUUCCCCUGGAACCCAUGAAAAAAAGUGGAUCGCUUCUUAUGGACUCGCUCAGAAUGAUUCUUCUCUAUCUAUAGUUCAUGGCCUAUUAGAAGUAGAAGGUGCUCUGGUGCAAUCCUUACUGACAGAAAAAGAUUGCAGUCAGGUUGAUAAUAAUCGAGUGCCAUUACUUCGUCGGUCCGAACCAAGGAAUCCGUUAGAAAUUCCGAUCCAAUUUUUCGUAAUCGAUUAGUUAACAUAGUGGUUAACCGUAUUAUGAAAGACAGAAAAAAAUCAUUGGCUUAUCAAAACCACAAUUUGCUAUGGAGGAAAUGCUUGAUUAUAAGGUUCUGACGUCACAUGUUCAUGCUCAUAUACCAACAGUAGUUGUUCUCAGCUAAUAAGCCGUUCCAACUUAAUUAAAGAAUGUAGUUAAAUAUUGAUUUUAGUUAUGCCAUUAGAGUACUUGGUAGCAGCAUAUCUUAUUCUAGUUAGAAUGUGAUGAGUUAUGGACUGGUAGCAGCAUUUUUAUAUACUAUGCAUUCAGUUACAACCUAUAGUUCAACUUCCAGAGGUGAUAGUACCAACUGUAGUUAAACUUGAUGUCAUAUGAUGUUUGAUUGAUACCAGCCUGCACUAUAUAUAAAGAGAACAGAAGUAGCUAAGAUGUCAUUACAGAUGGGGGAUAGCUCAGAUGUUGCUAAAUCAACGGGUGUUCUUCCAGAGACACCUCGUGGUAGAAAGUCCACAGCUUGGCAGCAUUUUGAGGAAGAGUUGGUAAUGGUUAAUGAUGUGCCGAUGGCUGUCUGCAAAUACUGUGGUCUAAAGAUGAAAGCUACUGCAAGGUCAGGCACUAGUAGUUUCAGAAACCACAUUGGGGAGUCAUGUCCUAAAAUUGGAGAUGUUGAGAGACACAAAUUCUUAGCAGCAAUAAAGAAACAAUCAGCAGAUGUGUUCGUGUUCAAUCCAGAAAGAACACGUGAGCUUAUUGCCAUGUUUUGUAUAGAUGGUGAGAUUUCCUUCAACAAGUUCAACAAUCCGUAUUUCCAAGAGUUGAUGGCCUCAAUGCAGCCUACCUUUUCUGUCUCUGAUCAUCAUGUUGUUAGAGAUGACUGUAUUAGAUUGUAUGAGAACAUGAAGAAAGAUUUACGCAAUGAAUUUCAGAAUCUUGAUUCUCGUUCAGUCUCACUUCCAAUCUGUGGACUUCAAACCAGAAGCUGGGAUAUAUGUGUGUAACAGCACAUUACAUAGAUGCAAACUAUAAGCUUCAUAAGAAGAUUAUUUAUUUCAAAAAUGUCAAGUAUCCUCAUAUCGGUUUAGCUAUUGAAGAUGCACUUUCAAGAUUAGUUGCAGAUUGGAGGAUCAAAAGGAAGUUGCUCACAAUCACUUUGGACAAUGCAUCUAACAACACCAAGGCAGUGACAUCAUACUUACAGAAUGAAGAUCAUGGUCUUUUGGUAGAUGGACUAGACUUUCAUGUGAGGUGUUCUGCACAUAUUCUGAACAUUUUAGUCCAAGACGGGUUAGUUCAUGUUAAGGAAGCAAUAAAGAAAAUCAGGGAGUUGUAUAGACAUAUUGAAACUUCACCUUCUCGCCUGCAAACAUUCAAUUCUAUUGCUGAUCUGAAGGGACUACCAAAGAAGGCCGGUUUAACUCUUGAUCUUCCACAUCGCUGGAAUUCUACCUUUGACAUGAUCGAAGAAGCUUAUCCGUACAAAAAUGUUUUGAAUAGUUAUGCAGAUGAAACUAAGGAAGUGGCUGCACUAACUGAAGAAGAAUGGGCUGCUGCAAUGUCAAUUGAGAAAGUCCUUAAAGCAUUUGAAGAGGCUACACUUAUAGUAUCAACCGAUAGGAAACCAUCAGCCCAUAUGUUUUUGAAUAUGGUGUUGUGUAUAAAAAAUGCUUUACUAGAUGCAGCAUGGCAAACCGAUCAUGUGUUGAACAAUCUGGUUGUUAGUAUGGCUACAAAAUUCAGCAAGUACUGGGCUGAGGCUUCAAUGAACACAACGCUUGUGAUUGCUGCUAUUCUGGAUCCAACACAAAAGAUGGAUUAUGUGUACUAUGACUUGUAUGCAGAAAAUGUGAAGAGAACCGUUGAGAAGUCAAUGCCUUGUCAACCUGAAAUUUUGUUGGGUUCACCGAUGCUAGGAAAAAGGAAACUUGAUGAGGAAUUUAUAAGGUACAAGGCUAGGAGAAGAGCGAGGAAGGAGCCCGGUUCAGAGCUUGAUGCUUAUCUUGAGGAACCAGCUUUGCAUACUGUGAAGGACUUUGAUGUCUUGGGAUUUUGGGAGCAAAACACAGUAAAAUACCCUGUACUUGCAGCAAUGGCCAAAGACUUCCUCACAAUACCUCUAAGUACAGUCUCGUCAGAAUCGGCAUUCAGUCUUGGUGGUCGCAUCCUUGGGGACACACGAGCCUCUCUAAAACCUGAUAGUCUUGAGGCCCUUGUAUGUGGAAAGGACUGGCUGACCAAGCGUCGGUGAGUGAGAUGGCCUGACAAUGUUUACCCGUAGGCUUGUGGGUAAGUAUGAUGAUUAGUUUCCUGUUAUGUAGUCAUAAUCAUUGAAUAUUUUUUGUGGACAUGAUUGAAGUUCUCUUGCUGAACCAGCUUGCAUAGUCUUAAUUACAUCAUCAUUAUUUAGCUUGCCUAGUUCUCUUGCUGAACCUUGAAUAAAGGGGCUCCUAAAGAGCAACUCUUAAACCUGUAUUGUAAGAUCUUUUGUUUCAGGUGAACAGUCUUUCUUUCUUCAGAUUUAAUUUGUUUGUAAGAUGUUCAGUUUGCUUUCUUCAAGCUCAGUUUCAUCUUCACAUGUACCUUAAUUUGUGCUGAAAGUAGUUAUCAAUCUUUGUUGUCAGUUGUCAGAACAAACAAAAUUAAGCCACCAGAUUUGUUCAUUAGGUAUCACUUUAAAGAAUGCAGUUAAUUAGCCGUGUGUGUGAUCAACUGAUCAGUGUGUGAUCUAUCUGCUUGCUGUGCACUGAAGUGAAUUUUCUGUUGUAGGAAAGUAUAUGCUUCGGUUCAGUUUAGUGAAUUUUCAUUCAAAGAUGGCACAUUGCAAUACUGAUGGAUAAUAUGGCAGGUCCUUUAUUUACUGUGUUUUCUUUAGAUCUUGGAAGUGUUGUCUUAUUCUUGUAUGUUACAGCUAGUAUGACAAAUUUAAUCUUCUCAUAGAGGCUGGUGUUAUACUUUUAAUCAGAUUUUAUCCCUCUACUUCAUUUCUUACGUGUUCGAAGGUGGGAGUCUGGUAGGUUUCUUCCUCUAUGGUUAGAUCUGGUUGGGACUUGGAAUGUGGAUAGUUAAUAUCCAACCUGCACAGUGUCUGCUUGCGGAUGGUUUAAUUAAUCAACUAGACUGUCCAUAAAUUGGGUGCCCCUUUAGUUUGUUUCUAUGUUGAGAAAUUGAUCUGUUCAGGCACAUAUACCUACAACUGGCAUAAAUUGAAAUGUUGUGGUAUGAUUUCUGUUCAAGUAGUCUUGAUCUAUGCUGUCAUUUUCUAGCUUGACAAGGACUAUUUGUCGUCACUGCAUUAGGUCUUCGGCUGGAAAUUUAUCAUCAUAUUUCAGUUAAUGUUGUGAUAUUCUCACUUAUAUUUUGUAUGCUUCUCAUUGGUUAUCCUUUUCCAUUACCAGGUGAGAUGGUUUUUGGAAGAUGGAAGAAGAAGAUGAUGAUGAAGCCUUUGCUGUCAUUUGUGCUAAAUUAUUUGUAUUUUGUUCGAUCUAUGUAUGAUUUACUAGCUGGUUUGUCCUUUCCGUUAUGUAUGGAAGACGAAAAAGAUACAACUCUGCAUCAUGGGUGUGACCAGCAAUCAUGUCACCUUCUGAAAAGCUCUUUUUCAUCUAGUUAGAUGUCACAAUGUGAUGAAUCUAGGCAUGAGAUUUGUAGAGAAGGAACAGCUAGCUACAAAGCACUGAUGCACUUUGGUUUUGAUGCUUGCACUGAUGUACGAUGCUUGUUCUAUGUAUUGCACUGAUGCACUUUAAUUUUGUAUUUUCCUGCUAUGCACCGCUGCCUUGCCGGCUCAGGCUAAUACGGCUGAAGUCUGAAGGCUGUAGUCUCGUCUUAUUAUUGUAUUGGCUUGGUUUGAGUGAGGUGCGGUUUGUCACCAUCUACCAAGCCUAUGACCCGUGUCAAAC